rnacentral:rRNA from 1 species
CUACGGGAUGCAGCAGUGGGGAAUAUUGGACAAUGGGGGAAACCCUGAUCCAGCAAUGCCGCGUGUGUGAAGAAGGCCUGCGGGUUGUAAAGCACUUUCGGUUGGGAGGACUGCUUCUAGCACUAAUAUUGUUGGAAGUUGACGUUACCUUCAGAAGAAGCACCGGCUAACUCCGUGCCAGCAGCCGCGGUAAUACGGAGGGUGCAAGCGUUAAUCGGAAUUACUGGGCGUAAAGCGCGCGUAGGCGGCUAGAUCAGUCGGGUGUGAAAGCCCCGGGAUUAACCUGGGAACUGCAUCCGAUACUGGCUAGCUUGAGUACAGGAGAGGAGAGUGGAAUUCCACAUGUAGCGGUGAAAUGCGUAGAUAUGUGGAGGAACACCAAUGGCGAAGGCAGCUCUCUGGCCUGAUACUGACGCUGAAGUGCGAAAGCGUGGGGAGCAAACAGGAUUAGAUACCCCCGUAGUC